rnacentral:rRNA from 1 species
GCUUACGGCCACACCACCCUGAACAUGCCUGAUCUCGGAAGUUAAGCAGGGUUGGGCCUGGUUAGUACUUGGUUGGGAGUCCGCCUGGGAAUAUCAGAUGCUCUAAGUU